GGAUUAGAUACCCUGGUAGUCCACGCCCUAAACGAUGUGCGCUAGAUGUUGGGGGACUUGUCCUUCGGUGUCGUAGCUAACGUGUUAAGCGCACCGCCUGGGGAGUACGGCCGCAAGGUUAAAACUCAAAGGAAUUGACGGGGGCCCGCACAAGCGGUGGAGCAUGUGGUUUAAUUCGACGCAACGCGCAGAACCUUACCAGCCCUUGACAUGGUAGUUUUGGUUCGGAGAGAUCCGGCCUUUCCUUCGGGAGGCUACUGCAGGUGCUGCAUGGCUGUCGUCAGCUCGUGCCG
rnacentral:rRNA from 1 species